rnacentral:rRNA from 1 species
UGGGGAAUCUUGCGCAAUGGGCGAAAGCCUGACGCAGCGACGCCGCGUGGGGGAAGAAGGCUUUCGGGUUGUAAACCCCUUUCAGGAGGGACGAAGCUCCUCAGGUUAAUAGCCGAGAGGGUGACGGUACCUCCAGAAGAAGCCCCGGCUAACUACGUGCCAGCAGCCGCGGUAAUACGUAGGGGGCAAGCGUUGUCCGGAUUUAUUGGGCGUAAAGAGCGUGUAGGCGGCCUGGUAGGUCAGUUGUGAAAACUCGAGGCUCAACCUCGAGACGCCGAUUGAAACCAUCAGGCUAGAGUCCGGAAGAGGAGAGUGGAAUUCCCGGUGUAGCGGUGAAAUGCGCAGAUAUCGGGAAGAACACCCGUGGCUAAGGCGGCUCUCUAGUACGGUACUGACGCUGAGACGCGAAAGCGUGGGGAGCGAACAG